rnacentral:tRNA from 1 species
GGAGCUGUGGCUCAGCAGUAGAGCAUCUGUUUGGCAUUUAGAAUGCCCUACGUUCAAUUCCAGGCAUCUUUA